CGCGGAGGCGGCGCUGCGCACCGUGCGCCCUCGGAGCCGGCUGGAUGCGGCCGCCGCAGUUGGCACCCGCCGCUCCGCACUCCUCCACCGCGGGGCCUCCUUUGCCCCGCGGGCGUCCACCCUAAGCUCCCUGGGCCCCGCAGACCUGCAAACCCGAGGCGGAGAGCGCAUUUGCCUUUGGCUCUUUCCCGGACUUGGCAGAGGGGUUCCGGCGGGAAUCUGGGCUGGCGCUGGCGAUGCGCAGCCAAGGAGGGCGAGGCGCCGCGUCCAUGCGGGGUGCUCCCCUAGAGCGAGGAGGCGGGAUGCCCUCGCCGGGGCCCGCGGGACCCUCUGCACCCGCCUGCACCGUGCGCCCACCCCCGGGCCCGGGAACGCGGCCCUUGGGAAUCCCAGCCAGUGACCUCCGCGCGACCUCCGCGGGUCCGAGCGCAGAGGCCGGCCGGCAGCUCUUUGACCUUGGAUGGCAAGUGGGCAGUGGGGUGGGUGCUCCGGGCGCCUAAUGUGGAUUACUUGGUGUGUACCAGCCGGGCUCGGAAGACUCGCGACCCCGUCUCCGGCCGUGGACUGAUUCAUUCUACCUAGCGGUCGGGUCGCUUCCCUGGAGGGACGCCUUUCCAAUCAUUCGCCAAUUCUGCAAUUAUCGAGCGCCUGCUGGAUGCUUCUUCAGAUGUCGGUGACGUCGCUUCUGUUCUUUGGCAUGUGGGCGCUCGUGGUCCCGGGGCCCGUGGGAAGCUGGCUGGACACAGCGGUCUCUGUGGGGAGGGUCCUGCUGUGCUUCAGGCCUGAGAGGACGUGUCUGAGAUGCUGGCCUCUGGGACACAUUCCUCAGGACGUGAGUGAAGCCCUCCGGAUCAUUUCUGCCUUGGUGACUCCUUCACUUUAUUAUUGUUAUUCUUAAUUUUAACCCUUUUUUUGUGGCAAAAUGUACCUAACGUGGAGUUUACCACCUUAGCCAUUUUGAAGUGCAGCCCGUGGCAUGAUGUCCAUUCACAUUGUUGUGUGACCGCCACCACCUCUUCCUCGAGAACUUUUCAUCGUCGCACACGGAACUCUGUCCCCAUUGCUCCUCCCCGGCCCCUGGCCGCCUCCGUUCUGUUUCCCGUCUCCAGGACUUUACUGCAGGUAUUUCGUCAAAGUGGAGGCAGAUGACAUUUGUCCUCUGUAUCUGUAUCUGACUGAUGUCACUUGGCAUCAGGGCCUCAAGGCUCACCCACGUUGGAACAGGUGUCAGAAUGCCCCCCCUCCCAUGUUAAGCCUGAAUAAUAUUCCACUGCAUGGA